AGUGAAGCAGAGGACAGUGGCGGACGGGUGUGUAACGCGUGAGGAACCUGCCUUUCAGAGGGGGACAACAGUUGGAAACGACUGCUAAUACCGCAUGAUACAUUUGGGUGGCAUCAUCUGAAUGCCAAAGAUUUAUCGCUGAAAGAUGGCCUCGCGUCUGAUUAGCUAGUUGGUGAGGUAACGGCCCACCAAGGCGACGAUCAGUAGCCGGACUGAGAGGUUGACCGGCCACAUUGGGACUGAGAUACGGCCCAGACUCCUACGGGAGGCAGCAGUGGGGAAUAUUGGGCAAUGGGCGCAAGCCCGACCCAGCAACGCCGCGUGAAGGAAGAAGGCUUUCGGGUUGUAAACUUCUUUUGUCAGGGACGAGUAGAAGACGGUACCUGACGAAUAAGCCACGGCUAACUACGUGCCAGCAGCCGCGGUAAUACGUAGGUGGCAAACGUUGUCCGGAUUUACUGGGUGUAAAGGGCGUGUAGCCGGGAAGGCAAGUCAGAUGUGAAAUCCACGGGCUCAACUCGUGAACUGCAUUUGAAACUGUUUUUCUUGAGUAUCGGAGAGGCAAUCGGAAUUCCUAGUGUAGCGGUGAAAUGCGUAGAUAUUAGGAGGAACACCAGUGGCGAAGGCGGAUUGCUGGA
rnacentral:rRNA from 1 species